rnacentral:rRNA from 1 species
UACAGAGGGGGCAAGCGUUGUUCGGAAUUACUGGGCGUAAAGGGCGCGUAGGCGGCCUGUUAAGUCGAACGUGAAAUCCCCGGGCUCAGCCCGGGAACUGCGUCCGAUACUGGCAGGCUUGAAUUCGGGAGAGGGAUGCGGAAUUCCAGGUGUAGCGGUGAAAUGCGUAGAUAUGUGGAGGAAUACCGAUGGCGAAGGCAGCCCCCUGGGAUAACACUGACGCUCAUGCACGGAAGCGUGGGGAGCAAACAGG